rnacentral:ncRNA from 2 species
CGGUGAGGUAGAGGUUGCAAAGAUCACUAGUAUGCUUCUUGAGGUGCGCGAAACACCAUUGAUGGGAACAGAACAGGAGAUUUGCCGAAGUGAAAUAAAUUUUGGCGAUUUAUUUUGCUGGGACAGUACGUGAAAACGGCUGGACUGCUGCUAAAAAAGUCAUUUUUAGCAGGUGCGCUAUCUGACAA